rnacentral:rRNA from 1 species
ACACUCCUACGGGAGGCAGCAGUGGGGAAUAUUGGACAAUGGGCGCAAGCCUGAUCCAGCCAUGCCGCGUGAGUGAUGAAGGCCCUAGGGUUGUAAAGCUCUUUCACCGGAGAAGAUAAUGACGGUAUCCGGAGAAGAAGCCCCGGCUAACUUCGUGCCAGCAGCUGCGGUAAUACGAAGGGGGCUAGCGUUGUUCGGAAUUACUGGGCGUAAAGCGCACGUAGGCGGAUCGAUCAGUCAGGGGUGAAAUCCCAGGGCUCAACCCUGGAACUGCCUUUGAUACUGUCGAUCUGGAGUAUGGAAGAGGUGAGUGGAAUUCCGAGUGUAGAGGUGAAAUUCGUAGAUAUUCGGAGGAACACCAGUGGCGAAGGCGGCUCACUGGUCCAUUACUGACGCUGAGGUGCGAAAGCGUGGGGAGCAAACAGGAUUAGAAACCCUGGUAGUCCCAUG